AGGGGAAACGAUCGAGAAAGCUUGCUCUUUCUAGGCGUCGACCGGCGCACGGGUGAGUAACGCGUAUCCAACCUGCCCAUCACUUGGGGAUAACCUUGCGAAAGUAAGACUAAUACCCAAUGAUAUCCGUCGAAGACAUCUGAAGUGGAUUAAAGAUUCAUCGGUGAUGGAUGGGGAUGCGUCUGAUUAGCUUGUUGGCGGGGUAACGGCCCACCAAGGCAGCGAUCAGUAGGGGUUCUGAGAGGAAGGUCCCCCACAUUGGAACUGAGACACGGUCCAAACUCCUACGGGAGGCGGCAGUGAGGAAUAUUGGUCAAUGGACGAGAGUCUGAACCAGCCAAGUAGCGUGCAGGAUGACGGCCCUAUGGGUUGUAAACUGCUUUUAUAAGGGAAUAAAGUGGGAGUCGUGACUCCUUUUGCAUGUACCUUAUGAAUAAGGACCGGCUAAUUCCGUGCCAGCAGCCGCGGUAAUACGGAAGGUCCGGGCGUUAUCCGGAUUUAUUGGGUUUAAAGGGAGCGUAGGCCGGAGAUUAAGCGUGUUGUGAAAUGUAGAUGCUCAACAUCUGCACUGCAGCGCGAACUGGUUUCCUUGAGUACGCACAAAGUGGGCGGAAUUCGUGGUGUAGCGGUGAAAUGCUUAGAUAUCACGAAGAACUCCGAUUGCGAAGGCAGCUCACUGGAGCGCAACUGACGCUGAAGCUCGAAAGUGCGGGUAUCGAACAGGAUUAGAUACCCUGGUAGUCCGCACGGUAAACGAUGGAUGCCCGCUGUUGGUCUGAAUAGGUCAGCGGCCAAGCGAAAGCAUUAAGCAUCCCACCUGGGGAGUACGCCGGCAA
rnacentral:rRNA from 1 species